AGUUAGGGCUCGACUCCGGAGAACAAGCCUGAGAAACGGCUAGUAGGACUAAGGUCUGCAGCAGGCGCGAAACUUACACAAUGCUAGAUUUAAGAUGAUUAGCGAUGUAGUGAAGAAAAAUAACGAUGUGCUUGCAUUUAAACAUGCUUGCACAAUUGGAAUGAGACGACUCUAAACCGGUCAGUCGAGUAACAAAUGGAGGGCAAGUCUGGUGCCAGCAGCCGCGGUAAUUCCAGCUCCAUUAGCAUACAUUAAAGUUGUUGCGGUUAAAAAGCUCGUAGUUGAAUGUAGUGGUUGUUUGGUCGAUGGGUGGGCGUUAAGCGGCCCUCGCGGGUCGUGUCCACGUUCAUCGGCUAGCCAGCUAGUUUCGUCACUUAAUCGAGUGCGAAGCGGGGUGGGUUGCGCGCGUCCAAGGUUCGUCCUGUUCACGCUAGUGGUCCACCAAGUUUACCUUGAGAAAAUUAGAGUGCUCAGAGCAGGCAGUUGGGGUGUAAAAGCCUCUUUAUGCUUGAAUAAUGUUGCAUGGAAUAAUAGAAUACGGCCUCGGUUCUAUUCUGUUGGUCUUAUAGAACAACAAACAAGUUGGAGUAGUCGCCUAAACGGGAGCUGGUUGGUGUGUCGCGCGCUCGGGACUUGUUGUCUGGGGGUAAAACCUCAGUGUGUACCAACCCGAGCCGAGGCAUAAAAAGCACCCUCCAGUCUUCUAGACUCGCUUCCAACUGAGGCAAUGGUUAAAAGAAAUAGUCGCGGCGGCAUCAGUACUGCAUCGUGAGAGGUGAAAUUCUUAGACCGAUGCAAGACUAACUGAAGCGAAAGCGUUUGCCGAGGAUAUUUUCAUUAAUCAAGAACGAAAGUUAGAGGUUCGAAGGCGAUCAGAUACCGCCCUAGUUCUAACCAUAAACGUUGCCAACUAGCAAUUGGGUUGCGAUUCCUUUAGUGGGCGCCUAAAAAACGUCCACCAUUAUGAUCCACCCAGCGGCUCUCGUAGGGAAACCAAAGUGUUUGGGUUCCGGGGGAAGUAUGAUUGCAAAGUUGAAACUUAAAGGAAUUGACGGAAGGGCACCACCAGGAGUGGAGCCUGCGGCUUAAUUUGACUCAACACGGGGAAACUUACUAGAUUAGAACUCUGGAAUGAUUGACAGAUUGAUAGCUCUUUCUUGAUUCAGAGGAUGGUGGUGCAUGGCCGUUCUUGAUUCGUAUUCCGAAACGUCUGCUUAAUUGCGAUAACGAGUGAGACCUCACCCAACUAACUAGUGCGCGGUUGCGAUGUUGGGGCACUAAAGGUGUCGUUGGGCCACGGUUGCGUGUGUUCGCGGUGGCAACAUCGAGGCGCGCGCAGCUGCCAGCGGCAUCGCUCUCUUCUCGACCCGUGACUUCUUAGAGGGAUAAACGGUGUUUUAGCCGUAAGAAACGAGGCAAUAACAGGUCUGUGAUGCCCUUAGAUAUUCUAGGCCGCACGCGUGCUACAAUGGCGUGUGCAGAGAGCUUGUUCGAGGUUCGUCCAGAGGAGAACUAGUGGUUUGGCUGGGAGGUGGGGCAACUCGCCCUUCGGUCGACCGCCAAGUGACUCUGGUUAGCGGGCCGAGAGAAACCGCGCCCGAAAGGUCGCGGCAAUCAGAAAUACACGCCGUGAUUUGGGAUUGGGGAUUGCAAUUGUUGCCCAUGAACGAGGAAUUCCCAGUAAGCGCGAUUCAUCAUAUCGCGUUGAUUACGUCCCUGCCCUUUGUACACACCGCCCGUCGCUACUACCGAUUGGAAGUUUUAGUGAGGCAUCUGGACUCGCCGGCCAUGGGAGGAGCAAUCCUCCUCGGCCUGGAGGGGAAGUUUGUCGAACUCAAAUUUCUAGAGGAAGUAAAAGUCGUAACAAGGUUUCCGU
rnacentral:rRNA from 1 species